GCCUUGUUAGUGUAGCGCGGCCCAGCAUGAAAGGCUCUCACCCUUUUGACACGGGUUCAAAUCCCGUACAAGGCACCA
rnacentral:tRNA from 1 species